rnacentral:rRNA from 1 species
UACGAGGGGGGCGAGCGUUGUUCGGAAUUAUUGGGCGUAAAGGGUGCGUAGGCGGUUUUGUAAGUCUUAUGUGAAAUCUAUGGGCUCAACUCAUAGACUGCAUGAGAAACUGCAGGGCUUGAGCAUGGGAGAGGUGAGUGGAAUUCCUGGUGUAGCGGUGAAAUGCGUAGAUAUCAGGAGGAACACCUGUGGCGAAAGCGGCUCACUGGACCAUAACUGACGCUGAUGCACGAAAGCUAGGGGAGCAAACAGG